rnacentral:rRNA from 1 species
AUACGAAGGGGGCUAGCGUUGUUCGGAUUUACUGGGCGUAAAGCGCACGUAGGCGGAUUGUUAAGUCGGGGGUGAAAUCCUGGAGCUCAACUUCAGAACUGCCUUUGAUACUGGCGAUCUCGAGUCCGGGAGAGGUGAGUGGAACUGCGAGUGUAGAGGUGAAAUUCGUAGAUAUUCGCAAGAACACCAGUGGCGAAGGCGGCUCACUGGCCCGGUACUGACGCUGAGGUGCGAAAGCGUGGGGAGCAAACA